rnacentral:rRNA from 1 species
ACCUCGAUAGAAUUGAGGGAAAAGCCGCGGUUUGCGGGGGUGGCAAGCGUUGUCCGGAUUUUCUCCCAAGAGAAGCGAGCGCAGGCGGUUUCUUAAGUCUGAUGUGAAAGCCCCCGGCUCAACCGGGGAGGGUCAUUGGAAACUGGGAGACUUGAGUGCAGAAGAGGAGAGUGGAAUUCCAUGUGUAGCGGUGAAAUGCGUAGAUAUAUGGAGGAACACCAUUGGCGAAGGCGGCUCUCUGGUCUGUAACUGACGCUGAGGCUCGAAAGUUUUGGGGAGCAAACAGGAUUAGAUUUUUCUGGUAGUCCAUUGCCGUAAACGAUGAGUGCUA